rnacentral:rRNA from 1 species
UACGUAGGGUGCAAGCGUUGUCCGGAAUUAUUGGGCGUAAAGAGCUCGUAGGCGGUUUGUCGCGUCGGGAGUGAAAACCCAGGGCUUAACCCUGGGCUGGCUUCCGAUACGGGCAGACUAGAGGUAUGCAGGGGAGAACGAAGAUUCCUGGUGUAGCGGUGAAAUGCGCAGAUAUCAGGAGGAACACCUAUUGCGAAGGCAGCUCGCUGGGACGUAACUGACGCUGAGACGCGAAAGCGUGGGGAGCAAACAGG